rnacentral:rRNA from 1 species
UACGUAGGGGGCGAGCGUUGUCCGGAAUCAUUGGGCGUAAAGAGCGUGUAGGCGGUUCGGUAAGUCUGCCGUGAAAACCUGGGGCUCAACCCUGGGCGUGCGGUGGAAACUGUCGAGCUAGAGUCCGGAAGAGGCGAGUGGAAUUCCUGGUGUAGCGGUGGAAUGCGCAGAUAUCAGGAGGAACACCGGUGGCGAAGGCGGGUCUCUGGGCCGAUACUGACGCUGAGGAGCGAAAGCGUGGGGAGCGAACAGG